rnacentral:rRNA from 1 species
AUACGGAGGGGGCUAGCGUUGUUCGGAAUUACAGGGCGUAAAGGGCGCGUAGGCGGCCUGAUUAGUCAGUUGUGAAAUCCCUCGGCUCAACCGAGGAACUGCACCUGAUACUGUCAGGCUCGAGUCCCGGAGAGGGUAGCGGAAUUCCCAGUGUAGCGGUGAAAUGCGUAGAUACUGGGAGGAACACCGGUGGCGAAGGCGGCUACCUGGACGGGUACUGACGCUGAGGCGCGAAAGCGUGGGGAGCAAACAGGAUUAGAAACCCCAGUAGUCC